GCCUUGCUGGCGCAAUGGUAGCGCGCCGGCGACCGUUGCCGGAGGUUACUGGUUCGAAUCCGGUGUCUGGCG